rnacentral:tRNA from 4 species
GGGCGGUUAGCUCAGCUGGUUAGAGCGUUCGGUUCACAUCCGAGAGGUCAUAGGUUCGAAUCCUAUACCGCCCA